CCUGCCAUGACUGGACCUGUCACCUCCACCCAAACCCAAGACCCCCUCAGCCAGAUGCCAACAAACCGAGGAGAUCCUCAAUGCCAUCCUACCACCCCGGGAAUGUAUGGAGACCAACCAGCUGUGGGUGCAGCAGGUGUCUAGCACGCUGUGUACCCGCAUGGAUGUGGUGCACCUAUAGAAUCAGCUGGACCUGAAGCUGCAGCAGACAGGCCAGGGAGACUGGCAUCUGCCCAGUUCUCAGGGAAAUCUACUCCCGGUGCUUCGAUCUCCGGUGUAGAACGAGAAGCAGGACCAAUAGAGACAGGUUAACGAGCAGAAGGCCAAGACUGAGGCCAUUGAGAAGAGGGAGACAGAGACGGCAGGUGGAGAAGAAACACACAGAGGAGAUUUAGUUCCUGAAGAGAACCAACCAGCAGCUCAUGGUAAAGGCGCCAAGUCACCAUCCCUGUGCAGUCUUGCCAACUCCUAUGGGCAUUGUCGCACCAAAUAAGUAAGUUUUUGGAAUGAAAUCUAUCAAUUUAUGUAAUUUAAAAUAUACUUAACAAAAAUAAACGCAACAUCAAAAGUGUUGGUACCAGCUGAAAUAAAUUAUCCCAGAAACUUUCCACACACAAAAAGCUUAUUUCUCAAUGUUGUGCACAAAUUUGUUUACAUCCCUGUUAGUGAGCAUUUCUCCUUUGCCAAGACUUUC